rnacentral:rRNA from 1 species
GAUGAACGCUGGCGGCGUGCCUAAUACAUGCAAGUCGUACGGAAAGGCCCUUCGGGGUACUCGAGUGGCGGACGGCUGAGUAACGCGUGGGAACGUGCCCCAAAGUGAGGGAUAACGCACCGAAAGGUGUGCUAAUACCGCAUAUGGUCUUCGGAUUAAAGCUUCGGCGCUUUGGGAGCGGCCCGCGUACGAUUAGAUAGUUGGUGAGGUAAUGGCUCACCAAGUCGACGAUCGUUAGCUGGUCUGAGAGGAUGAUCAGCCAGACUGGGACUGAGACACGGCCCAGACUCCUACGGGAGGCAGCGGUAAGGAAUCUUCCACAAUGGGGGCAACCCUGAUGGAGCAACGCCGCGUGCAGGAUGAAGGUUUUCGGAUCGCAAACUGCUUUUAUAAGUGAAGAAUAUGACGGUAACUUAUGAAUAAGGAUCGGCUAACUACGUGCCAGCCGCCGCAGUAA